rnacentral:pre_miRNA from 15 species
UCGUAGCUGUGAUCAUUAACCAAAUCGUGCUGGUCAGGAUGCUUGCAGUGCUGUGGCUUGCUCGUCUUAUGACGAGCAACACUAAAGCUUUCUUAGUAUUGCACUCGUCCCGGCCAGUAGGGUAUCUGGUAUAAAACAUCUUAGGCGG